AUGGAAGCCAAUACAUUAAGCUAGUUUGCCACUAUUAUCUUGGGUUGUGCUACAUGUAAGUAUAUUUUAGUUUAUUUAGAUAAACAAUAUAGGUUAUACUACGUACACUGUAUAACAAUACAUUACGUGUUUCCUUUAUUUCAGUUUACAUGUUAGCUACUGUAUAUACUACCGCAUUACAGUGAUGUGUAGUUAUAUUGUUUGUACAAUUAUCAUUGUAUAAUGUUUGUGACUCAUCAAUA